UUGUGGAGGAGGACGCCGAAGGUGGGGCUAAUGACUGGGGUGAAGUCGUAACAAGGUAGCCGUACCGGAAGGUGCGGCUGGAUCACCUCCUAACAGGGAGACAACAAAAUGUUAAAUAUUAAUUUUGUCACCUUAGGUCGAUCGGUAUCUCACAUUCUUAACUUAUUAAGAAUUUUAUUUCCUAAGUUUUUUCUAGGUCACACCCAUUAUUUUUCCUGGGCCAUUAGCUCAGGUGGUUAGAGCGCACCCCUGAUAAGGGUGAGGUCCCUGGUUCAAGUCCAGGAUGGCCCAUAUCUCUAUGUUGGGGGUAUAGCUCAGUUGGUAGAGCGCCUGCUCUGCAAGCAGGAUGUCAGCGGUUCGAGUCCGCUUACCUCCACUGAUUACCACCUCUUCCAUAAUUUAUAAAAAGGAAAAUUUUUGAGUUGUGAUCAAAUUCUGAACGAAUCUAGCUUCCUAAUAAUGAUAUUAAGAUGCUGGACUCAUUGAAUUAAUUUUCAUUGUUUUCAGAGAACCUUGACAACUGCAUAGAUUAUUUUUAAAGACAAUAAGCAUCUUUAAUGAUGCAGAUUUAUUAUUUGUGCGAAUGCAUUAAAUAACAAUUCUAUUAAGCUGAUGCUUCAAACUUUUGAAGUUAUUGGUCAAGCUACAA
rnacentral:misc_RNA from 1 species